UACGUAGGGUGCGAGCGUUAAUCGGAAUUACUGGGCGUAAAGCGUGCGCAGGCGGUUCGUUGUGUCUGCUGUGAAAUCCCCGGGCUCAACCUGGGAAUGGGCAGUGGAAACUGGCGAGCUUGAGUGUGGCAGAGGGGGGUGGAAUUCCGCGUGUAGCAGUGAAAUGCGUAGAGAUGCGGAGGAACACCGAUGGCGAAGGCAACCCCCCUGGGCUGACACUGACGCUCAGGCACGAAAGCGUGGGGAGCGAACAGG
rnacentral:rRNA from 1 species